rnacentral:rRNA from 1 species
UACGUAGGGGGCUAGCGUUGUCCGGAAUCAUUGGGCGUAAAGAGCGCGUAGGCGGCCAGAUAAGUCCGGUGUGAAAGUCACAGGCUCAACCUUUGAAUGCCGCUGGAAACUGUCUGGCUAGAGUCCGGAAGAGGAGAGUGGAAUUCCUGGUGUAGCGGUGAAAUGCGCAGAUAUCAGGAAGAACACCCGUGGCGAAGGCGGCUCUCUGGGACGGUACUGACGCUGAGACGCGAAAGCGUGGGGAGCGAACAGG